GUCUAGGCCUAUGUGACAACUUCCUCAUUUAGGUUUAGUCAUUUGUCAAAGUAUGGCGACUGUGCGUUUCACCCUCCCUAUUCUACUAACUCUACUCCAUCAUUCAGAGCCCAGUGCUGAGACCUCUGUGUUUGUGCAGAAGGGACAGGAUGUUCGUCUGAAUGUCCAGACAAAUGUCACACUGAAAGAUGUUGAUGUGAUAUUUUGGAAGUUUAACACAUCAGCCAAUGUUGUAAAGUACCCCCCAAAAGUUACCUUUGAAAGUUACCAAGGUAGGGCUGAAUUUAGUGAGGGAGACUUCUCUCUGCUACUGAAGAACCUCCAGGAAGGAGACAGUGGACUUUAUGAUGCAGUAGUGAAUGGUGAAAAAGACAGAAACGUUGCUAGAUACUUGAUAAAAGUCGAAGUGAGUUGUGCCUCCAGUCCUGACAGUGAACUGACUCCACCAUCAAUGACACCUGUACAUGCACACACAAUAAACUAGACGUCAUAUAAACUCCACUCCAGACCUGACUGCCCUUGACCAGCACAAAAACAUCCUGUGGUGUACUGCAUUAGCAUCGAAUAGCACCAGGAAUAUGCAACUUUUCAGGGAAGAUAAGGAACCAAGAUCACCUCCUCCCAGCUGCCCACUGCACUGAGGCUAGGAAACAAUGUCACCGCCGAUAAAUCCACUAUAAUUGAGAAUUUCAAUAAGCAUUUUUCUACGGCUGGCCAUGCUUUCCACCUGGCUACACCAGCCCUGUACCCCCCCCCCACAGCAACUUUCCCAAGCCGCCCCAUUUCUCCUUCACCCAAAUCCAGAUAGCCGAUGUUCUGAAAAAGCUGCAAAAUCUGGACCCCUACGAAUCAGCCGGGCUAGACAAUCUGGACCCUUUCUAAAAUUAUCCGCUGCAUUGGUUGCAACCCCUAUUACUAGCCUGUUCAACCUCUCUUUCAUAUCAUCUGAGAUCCCCAAAGAUUGGAAAGCUGCCACGGUCAUCCCCCUCUUCAAAGGGGGAGACACUCCAGACCCACACUGCAACAGACCUAUCUGUCAUACCCUGCCAUUCUAAGGCCUUCGAAAGCUAAGUUAACAAACAGAUCACCAACCAUUUUGAAUACCACCGUACUUUCUCCACCAUGAAAUCUGGUUUCCGAGCUGGUCACUGGUGCAACUCAGCCACACUCAAGGUCCUAAACCUGAUCAUAACCGCCAUCGAUAAGAGACAAUACUGUGCACCUGUAUUCAUCGACCUGGCCAAGGCUUUCGACUGUCAAUCACCACAUUCUUAUCGGCAGACUCAACAGCCUUGGUUUCUCAAAUGACUGCCUCGUCUGGUUCAUCAACUACUUCUCAGAGUUCAGUGUGUCAAAUCGGAGGGCCUGUUGUCCGGACCUCUGGCAGUCUCUAUGGGGGUACCACAGGGUUCAAUUCUCAGGCAGACUCUUUUCUCUAUUCAUCAAUGAUGUCGCGCUUGCUGCUGAUGAUUCUCUGAUCCACCUCUACGCAGACGACAUCAUUCUGUAUACUUCUGGCCCCUCUUUGGACACUGUUAACUAACCGCUAGAUGAGCUUCAAUGCCAUACAACUCUCCUUCCAUAGCCUCCAACUGCUCUUAAAUGCAAGUUAAACUAAAUGCAUACUCUUCAACCAAUCACUGCCUGCACCUGCCCGCCCAUCCAGCACCACUACUCUGGACGGUUCUGACUUAGAAUAUGUGGACAACUACAAAUACCUAGGUGUUUGACUAGAUUGUAAACUCUCCUUCCAGACUCACGUUAAGCAUCUCCAAUCCAAAAUGAAAUCUAGAAUCUGCUUCAAAAACAACAAAGCAUCCUUCACUCAUGCUGCCAAACAUACCCUCGUAAAAAAUGACCAUCCUACCGAUCCUUGACUUUGGCGACGUCAUUUACAAAAUAGCCUCCAUCGCUCUACUCAGCAAAUUGGAUGCAGUCUAUCACAGUGCCAUCCGUUUUGUAACCAAAACCCUAUAUACUACUCACCACCUCGACCUGUAUGCUUUCGUUGGCUGGCCCUCGCUUCAUAUUCGUUGCCAAACCCACUGGCUCCAGAUCAUCUACAAGACCCUGCUAGGUAAAGCCCCGCCUUAUUUCAGCUCACUGGUCACCACAUUUAUUUAUAAAGCCCUUCUUACAUCAGCUGAUAUCAAAGUGCUGUACAGAAACUCAGCCUAAAACCCCAAACAGCAAGCAAUGCAGGUGUAGAAGCAUGGUGGCUAGGAAAAACUCCCUGGAAAGGCCAAAACUUAGAGGAACCAGGCUACAAACUGUAUGUUUGUUUAAUCCAUGUCUAACUCUGUUUGUGCCGCACUGCUUUGCUUUAUCUUGGCCAGGUUGCAGUUGUAAAUUAGAACUUGUUCUCAACUGGUCUACCUGGUUAAAAAAAAAAGGUGAAAUAAAAAAUAUAUGCUUUGCUGAUUUUUAUAUUUUGUGGGAGGAAGCAGAGGAACUAUCGCGGGAGGAAGCGGACGACAACUCCGAUGUCAAAGUCUGGAUACCUGUCGGUGUCCUCAUCAUAGUUGGAUUAUUCGUCCUGAUUAGCAUUGUUCUUUGGCGAAAGAUAAAUUAAGGUGACGAAGAGGAAAUUAUAAACACAGAGUAUGCUACAUUCAAGACUCCAGGUAACAGUCAUGUAGGUGGUGAAGAGCAGGAAUCUCCAGGUCCAGCAUCACCCACCAUCUACAGUAUGGUGGGACUACCCCAACCCCAGCCUGUUAACCACCAGCCUUUGCCUGUGGACCUCCCCAUGGCCACCAUGACCUCCAUGCCUGAGAGUUUAUAUGCUGUGGUGGGGGAAAAGACUAGCCAACAAUAAUAAUGCAUUUUAACAUUAUUCUAGGCUGGGAUUAACUCCGAUUUUAUUAGAUUGCCCUUUGUUGGCUAAGCAUCUUUUAAAGCCAAUGUUCCUGCAUUCACUGAGACAGCUUUCACAAUAAAUGCUGCAUAUGCUAGCUAAAUCGGAAAUGAUCUGUAAAUGGUGCCUAGAUGCAGUGGGACCCGUCAUUCAGGGCAGGUGUUUGAGCCCAACAUUUUUAGCAAUGGGCUUGCCUGUUUUGCAUGUUAUUUUGGCAUUAGUACGUGUCACAUAUCAGUUUGCAAACAAUGUAAAAAAUAUAUAUAUAUCAUUGAGUUAAUAAAGCCGCUUACAAACAUGG